rnacentral:rRNA from 1 species
GACGAACGCUGGCGGUGUGCUUCACACAUGCAAGUCGAACGAGGUAGCAAUACCUAGUGGCGGACGGGUGAGUAACGCGUGGGAAUCUGCCUUUAGAUGGGGGAUAACGAGCCGAAAGGUUCGCUAAUACCGCAUAGGUCGCAAGAUUAAAGGAGUAAUCCGUCUAGAGAUGAGCCCGCGUCCGAUUAGCUAGUUGGUAGGGUAAAGGCCUACCAAGGCGACGAUCGGUAGCUGGUCUGAGAGGAUGAUCAGACCACAAUGGGACUGAGACACGGCCCAUACUCCUACGGGAGGCAGCAGUGGGGAAUUUUACGCAAUGGGCGAAAGCCUGACGUAGCGACACCGCGUGAGCGAAGAAGCCCUUUGGGGUGUAAAGCUCUGUCGGCUGGAACGAAAAAAAUGACGGUACCAGCAAAGGAAGCAUCGGCUAACUACGUG